CGUCCACAUAGCUUAACACCAAAGCAUGGCACUGAAGC
rnacentral:tRNA from 1 species